rnacentral:rRNA from 1 species
CCUACGGGAGGCAGCAGUGGGGAAUUUUGGACAAUGGGGGCAACCCUGAUCCAGCCAUGCCGCGUGUGUGAAGAAGGCCUUCGGGUUGUAAAGCACUUUCGGACGGAACGAAAUCGCACGGGUGAAUAUCCCGUGUGGAUGACGGUACUGUAAGAAGAAGCACCGGCUAACUACGUGCCAGCAGCCGCGGUAAUACGUAGGGUGCGAGCGUUAAUCGGAAUUACUGGGCGUAAAGCGUGCGCAGGCGGCUUUGCAAGUCAGACGUGAAAUCCCCGGGCUUAACCUGGGAAUGGCGUUUGAAACUACGGAGCUGGAGUGUGGCAGAGGGGGGUAGAAUUCCACGUGUAGCAGUGAAAUGCGUAGAUAUGUGGAGGAAUACCGAUGGCGAAGGCAGCCCCCUGGGCCAACACUGACGCUCAUGCACGAAAGCGUGGGGAGCAAACAGGAUUAGAUACCCUGGUAGUCCACGCCCUAAACUAUGUCAACUAGUUGUUGGGGGAGUUAAAUCCCUUAGUAACGCAGCUAACGCGUGAAGUUGACCGCCGNGGAGGUACGGUCGCGAGAUAAACUACGAAGAAGUAGACGCGUGAGACGNGCGACGGACGACGACGAGGGAGAGG